AGUGAACGCUGGCGGUGGGCCUAACACAUGCAAGUCGAACGGCAGCACAGUAAGGGCUUGCUCUUACGGGUGGCGAGUGGCGGACGGGUGAGGAAUACAUCGGAAUCUACUUUUUCGUGGGGGAUAACGUAGGGAAACUUACGCUAAUACCGCAUACGACCUACGGGUGAAAGCAGGGGAUCUUCGGACCUUGCGCGAUUGAAUGAGCCGAUGUCGGAUUAGCUAGUUGGCGGGGUAAAGGCCCACCAAGGCGACGAUCCGUAGCUGGUCUGAGAGGAUGAUCAGCCACACUGGAACUGAGACACGGUCCAGACUCCUACGGGAGGCAGCAGUGGGGAAUAUUGGACAAUGGGCGCAAGCCUGAUCCAGCCAUACCGCGUGGGUGAAGAAGGCCUUCGGGUUGUAAAGCCCUUUUGUUGGGAAAGAAAAGCAGCAGGUUAAUACCCCGCUGUUCUGACGGUACCCAAAGAAUAAGCACCGGCUAACUUCGUG
rnacentral:rRNA from 1 species